rnacentral:tRNA from 1 species
ACCUUCGUGGUGUAACGGUAGCACACUCGGCGCGUAUUCGAGAGGUCCAGGUUCGAGUCCCGGUGAAGGCA